UGGGGAAUAUUGGACAAUGGGCGAAAGCCUGAUCCAGCCAUGCCGCGUGUGUGAAGAAGGUCUUCGGAUUGUAAAGCACUUUAAGUUGGGAGGAAGGGCAGUAACCUAAUACGUUGCUGUCUUGACGUUACCGACAGAAUAAGCACCGGCUAACUCUGUGCCAGCAGCCGCGGUAAUACAGAGGGUGCCAGCGUUAAUCGGAAUUACUGGGCGUAAAGCGCGCGUAGGUGGUUUGUUAAGUUGGAUGUGAAAUCCCCGGGCUCAACCUGGGAACUGCAUUCAAAACUGACAAGCUAGAGUAUGGUAGAGGGUGGUGGAAUUUCCUGUGUAGCGGUGAAAUGCGUAGAUAUAGGAAGGAACACCAGUGGCGAAGGCGACCACCUGGACUGAUACUGACACUGAGGUGCGAAAGCGUGGGGAGCAAACAGGAUUAGAUACCCCCGUAGUCCCUGAGCGGGCUGGCAAGGCGCAU
rnacentral:rRNA from 1 species